GCGUGCGCAGGCGGUUAUGUAAGACAGAUGUGAAAUCCCCGGGCUCAACCUGGGAACUGCAUUUGUGACUGCAUGGCUAGAGUACGGUAGGAGGGGGAUGGAAUUCCGCGUGUAGCAGUAGAAAUGCGUAGAUAUGCGGAGGAACACCGAUGGCGAAGGCAACUCCCCUGGACCUGUACUGACGCUCAUGCACGAAAGCGUGGGGAGCAAACAGGAUUAGAUACCCGGGU
rnacentral:rRNA from 1 species